UGCCUGCCAGAAAAUAAGACCAAGGUUAGGAGAGGCCAGGUAGGCUGGAUUAACCUCCUCAUAAGAUGCAUCACACAUUUGUCUUCCAAAAAGAAACAAGAAACACCCAGACAUCUGGCCCUAUCUUAAAGCUCCCAGGCCUGUGUGAAAUGGUCCUCUGGCCACCACCAGCACCUAGAGAAUUAGUUCACAACUACAGUAUGAAGUGGGGCUGCUCUACCCACCAGGCAACAUUAUACCCCCAAUCCCCAGCUAUUUGAGAGAAUAUAAAAACAUUACCAGGAGCAUAGAUACAUUAAUGAUUGACAUUAUCAGGUACAGUUAGGGGACAGGACUCUGAUGACUUAAAAAACCCCAAACAGAGGUUUCUAACAGGAGGGAGACACUGAGUCAUUUGUGGCUCAAAUAAGACAACUGAAAACAUUUCAAAGAAGCAAAAUUAUCCUAUGAGGAUAGACACAGUGAUUUAAUAAGCUGGCAUCUGAGAUAGUGUGACACAUGGCAUAUAGCCACAGGAAAUGUCUCAGGAAGGGGCUCAUUAAUCCUGAUUAUUCAGAAACCAGUCAGGGUAGGAUAUUUUAGCAUGGGAUUUAUAAACAGAGGAGACAAUAAGAUGUUUGGGUUCUCAUUCUGGCAUGCAAGACCUUCUACAUUUUUACUCCAACUACUUUAUCUCUCCUUCCACUUUUAUCUACCUGCCCACAUGUUCUUGUCUCAUCUUUUAAAACUACAAGGGUCUCUUCUCUGUUGAAAUUCAGAAGUCUUCUAGACCACCCAAGGCAUUACCUCUGCCUGAAGCCUCUACUGAUUCCCCAUCUUAGUGGUGUCUUACUUGCCUGUGACCCCCCAAAUCCUUGGCUGUGCUUCUCAGGGACAAGUAUCAGGCACUGGGUCUAAUUACAUAAAGUCCCUACAAUGAGCUCCAGAAGCAGCUGCUUAACUAAACUAGGACUAACUCUUCCUGUGGCUGGAAACUGGCCUUGAGGUGUGCUUAUUCUCCGGAGGUCCCUUCCAGCCCAGCCCAGAAUCUAGUUAGAAGGUUCUCAAAGGCUGAGAGUUGUUGGAAACUGAGGUUCAUUCAGCAAAAGAGAAUGGUUCUCCAUUCCCAGGGGAUAAUUGCGGGGGAGGGGGUGUCCUAAACACUGGAAGGAGAUAGCACAAUGAACUAUUGUUCUUCUGGAAAGCAAAUGGCGGAUAGUCCAGUCACCACCACCCACUCCCCAGUGAUGUAAUACCCUCAAAUGCUGGAGGGAAAGACAAACAAGUUCCUGCUACAAAAUGGGAUUCAAUGAGAGACACUCCACAUCUCCAGUCUUUUUAUAUUUCUUGUUUGAGACAAGUUCUGAGUUGCUCAAACUUGCCUCAGUCUCAAGUUGUUGGAAUUACAGGCAUGCACCUCUGCAAUUUUGUGUAAGAUGAUCAGAGAAAUCCUAAGAGAGCUGAAUGAAAUGAGGGAGCUAACCAUGUGGAUUUCUAGAGAGAAGGUUCUAGACAGUGCAAAGAACAAAUACAGAAGCAACACUGUGGAAAAGUAUGCUGUUCAAGGAACAGCAAAAGAGCUAGUGGCCCUGAAAUGCAGUGAACAAGGAGAAGAAUAGUGGCUACCAGCCAGGAUCAAAUUACAGCCAACCGGCAGACCAUGAUGUGACCUGGGUUUUUCUUGGGAUGUUAUGUGGAGCCACUAGCAAGUUAUGAGGUGAGGAGAGACAACAUGUGAUGUUUUUGAAGGCCAGCUUUGGCUGCUGUGUGGAGAAUGGACUGCAGGGGGCACACACAGCCUGCCAGGAGUCUGGGCUUCCAGCACUCAGGCUUGGUAUACAUGCUCUCUCUAUCUGAAGUAUACAGUACUCCCUCUAUCUGAAGGAAAGGAACUUUUUCUUCUUGUCCUUACUCCUUAACAUAACCAACUCCCAACCUUUCAAAGUCACCUCAUGGGCCUCCUAGGAAAGGCCUUUAAUACCAGCCCCACUCUGGACACCUGUAGCAUCCAGCCUUCAUGGUACUUACUAGAGCACAGUAUAAUUGACAUUUUAUAUCCAUCUUCUACUGUAGACCCAAAGAACCCUUGGAGCAGGGAUCCAGUACCUUUUAUAGCCCCAAUACCAGAUACAAGACAGGCUCAGUGAAUACUUAAGAACAAAUAAAAAGCAUUUUUUCAACUAUGUUUCAAAAUCAACCCUUUUAAGUAUAGGAGGGAGGAUGCUACCUUAUAGGACCCAGUGUAACAAAAAGCAAAAGUUUGGGUGACCUUAAUUUCUGCCCCAAGUGCUGGGGAUUGAACUCAGGGUCUUGUGCAAGACACACAAGCACUCUACCACUGAGCUAAAUCCCCAGUCCUUUUUAACUUUGAGACAGGGUGUUGCUAAGUUGCCCAGGAUAUCCUCCAACUUGUGAUCCUCCUGCCUGACAAGUAACUGGGGUUACAGGCAUGUGCCAUGGUGCCCAGGUAGGUGAUUCUGUUUAAUAAGAACCAGCUACUGAGAUUUGGUUGUUCAAAAAAAAAACCUCACACUUACCAGGAACAGGACACACAGGCAUACAUUUAUGUACUCAGUACCCACUAGGGGUCAUCCACUGCUUUCAGACAUAUGCUUCCAUCUGAACAUCUCAUUCAUCUUCCAUGAUUAUUAUGAUCUUCAUUUUACAGUUAAGGAAAUUGAGGUUUAGAGAAAAGAAGGGUUUUACCCAAGAACACAUAGCAGGUCAAAAGAAGAGCUAAAAGGCAGUCCCAUCACAGGGGAAGCUAAGGUGGGAGGAUUGUUUUGAGUCUGGGCAACAAGGAAAGACCCUGUCUUAAAAGAAAAAAAAAAAAGUGAUACGAAAGAUGAAAUUACAUAUAUUUGAAGCAUUAUUUCAUGUUUUUAAUGAGGUGGGGACAUUCUUUGUGGUAUAAUAAUGAGAAAUGCAGAACUCACAAUUUGUAUAUUCAGUCGGCGCUAAACUAUAUAAAAUAGAAACCGAAGCGAAAAAGCCUAGAAGUAAUUCACUUAGUGGUCACCUCUAAUGACACCUUGUUUCAUUUUCCUUUUCAAUUUUUCUUAUAAGCUUUAUAUAUCUAAAAAAGAUGAUUGAAAAAGUUACAUUCACAUGGUUUAACGUUUAAAAGUCCUUUUCGAAUUUUAUAUAAGCGAUAGGGACUAACAAUACACAACCCUGAAAAGGUGUAAAGAGCCCACGGUUGCAGCCAACAAGGCAGAGGGGCCUGGGGAUCCCCAAGGCCAGACCCUGCCGGUUCCUGACUCAGGCACCCAGUCUGAGUGUUUGGACGGAGCCACAGCAAGAGGCGGCAGUCACGCUUCUUAGGGCUCAAGUCCACGGCCACUUCCUGGGUCAAAGCUUGGCAUUCCGAAGAUUUAGAUUUUAAAUGUGUGGGUGGGUGAUGGUCGCACAUUUCCUCACAGCUCACCGCACAGAACUGCGAGGAGGAAAAACAACACACAUGACGCACUCACUUAGCAGUGCUUGCCACCUACUAGCUUCGGGGAAAAUGCUACCCUUAAGGCUAGAGUCGCGCGACAAGGCCCAGGUGCUAGGCGGCAGGCCUCAGAGUCCCAGCCUCCCACUGCCUGGUCUCACUGAGGCCUCAGCUGUUUCCGGUCGAGGAGCAGCGGCAUCCGGUGGCCACGCCUCGGCCGGGCCCCAAAGGCCCGCGCCAUUUGGGUUCCGCCCUCCCGUCAGCUUGGGUCCGAUUCCGGCCCCGCCCAGGCCGGCGGAUUCUUCUCCUGGCGCUCUGAGACCCCGGUGGCAGAUGGACCGCAUGGCCAGGGAGGGGUGCAACUGCUAGCCAAAAGCACCGGUGAACACUCACCAUCUCGGACUGAUCCUUAGCUCUGCGUCGCGAACACUCAGCUCAAGUCCGCGUUUUUCUGCGCCUGCGCAUAGUUCCCUGUGGUAACGGACAGCUGAGGCAGCCUAUCAGGAAUCAGCGGGGGUUUGGGGGCGGGCAGACGAGCUGAAGUGUUUCCCCACCCAGGGCCCUGGGAUGUUUGACUCUCCGGUGUCUGUAAGUGUAAAGGUAGGAUGAGGAUGUAGCUGAGUGGCGUUUGCCUACGAUAGCGAAAAGCAAAGGAGCACGUAAGCUGUAGAAAAUUCCCAACUCCAUCUGUACCACAAAGAUAUCGGUUCUAGGUGUUGGAAGAGGCUGGGUGGAGGGGUGAUGGGAGAGUAUGCGCCCAGAUGGAGACAAAGACAGGCGCGGAGCCAGAAUAAACUGAAGAUACGGGAAACUAAUGUUGGGUCUGAAGUCGGGUUCUCUCUGGAGUCUGCUGCGCGACCUCUUUGGGAAUACUCCUGCAAGCUCUGAGAUGAGCUGGCCCGGGAGUCCACAAUCCAAACUCAUCCCCACUUCUGUGUUACCUUUGGAGAAGGCACUUUACAUGUCUGUGCUAUAACAUUUUCUCACCAUUAAAAACACUAAAGGAGGGCAUUAAAAAAAAAAAAAAACAGUAAAAGAGGACCUUUCUUCCCAGAGCUCUAUAUCGUUCCUUUUUCUGCUCUAUUUAAACCUUUUACUCCGAAGACCACAAAAAUUUCUGGGCCUUCUAUCAGGAAAUAACUUCCGUUAAAACAUGCUGCGGUUUAGUGAAACUGGUGCUACCUUACUGUACUCAUUAUCUCCAGAAGCCUCAGCAUGGUGAUUAUUGGCAUUUCCACUUUACAAAUUUUUUCUUCCUGGCAUUGGAAUUUGCUGAAUUCUGUCGAGAAUCCACCUCCAGAUUUUCAUUCUACAAUAUCCUUUCUAAUGGGGAAGGAUUUAGUGCUCCUUCCAAGGGUGUCUGCUUCUCAGAAAGAGGGCUGCAUAAUAACUUUCCAGAUAGGAAAUCUAAAAGACACCACCUUAACCAGAUUAAGGUUAGUUAUUUCUGGUAAUGGAACAUACUGAUGUUGUGUGCACCCGAUAUGCACAAAGGGCACAUAGCCUCAGUAGUAAUUUUCACAGAAGUCCACAUCCUUAAUCAUGAGAAAAUUACACCCAGUUUAAGGGAUAUUCUGCAAGGCAACUGACCAGUAACUCUUUGUUAGCACAAAAAGACAGCAGGGGCAAACUUCAUGGAUCAGCUGUUUAUUCAGGAAGGGAAGUUCCAUGGAAGUUUCAUGCAGGCGCCAGGUGAGGGCUCUGGACCCACUUUCCUGGUGGAAAAUGAGCUCUUGGCCACAGGGGUAAGUUUAUGCUUACAUAGGUUAUACUGAGAGGUAACCUAAUUAUUGCCAGAGGGUGUCUAAUGGAGAGUCUGGGGUCAGUAGUAAGUGGGCAGAUGGAGAGUCUGAGGUCAGCAGUCUGUGGACCAGAUGGAGGGUGUGCAUUAGUGCUCAGUGUUUCUUUCCCUCAGGGGUCUCAUUGCACUGCCAAUGAGAAAGGACUUAUUUGGGGAAGGGUCAAUACUUUGGCUUCUUCCUAGGGACUGCCAGUCUAGGCUUGGAUGGAUAUUUCCUCCCCAGGAAGGAAUUGUCUUGUCACUGGGAAGGAAUGUAUUGAGAAAGGAUCAAUGCUAUCAAUGUAUGGCUUUCUUCUUCACUCCCUUUUACCAGGCCUCACUAUUUUGGGGUUUGUCAUUUUCCAUAUCUAAUACUGUUCAAAAAAAUCUCAAGGUCAUGAAAGACAAGGAAUGAAUGAGGGACUGCCAUAGAUUGGAGGAAACUAAGGCAAAAGAAGAACAUCGGUGGAAAUAUUGAUGAAAUAUGAAUGAGGGUUGUAGUGUUAUUUACUAAUGUUUAUUAGCUUUUUGACAACUGUACCAGAGAUAUGUGGAAUGUUAACAAUGGUGUGAAGGGUGUGCAGGAGCUCUGUGUUCUUUGCAACAAUUCUGCAUAUCUAAAGUUAUUUCAAAAUAAAGUUUUGUUUUUGUUUUUUUAAA